AUUGAACGCUGGCGGCAGGCUUAACACAUGCAAGUCGAGCGGGGUGAUGGUGCUUGCACUAUCACUUAGCGGCGGACGGGUGAGUAAUGCUUAGGAAUCUGCCUAUUAGUGGGGGACAACGUCUCGAAAGGGAUGCUAAUACCGCAUACGUCCUACGGGAGAAAGCAGGGGAUCACUUGUGACCUUGCGCUAAUAGAUGAGCCUAAGUCGGAUUAGCUAGUUGGUGGGGUAAAGGCCUACCUAGGCGACGAUCUGUAGCGGGUCUGAGAGGAUGAUCGGCGCCACUGGGACUGAGAGACGGCCCAGACUCCUACGGGAGGCAGGAGUGGGGAAUAUUGGGCAAUGGGGGGAACCAUGAUCCAGCCAUGCCGCGUGUGUGAAGAAGGACUUAUGGUUGUAAAGCACUUUAAGCGAGGAGGAGGCUCUUUUGGUUAAUACCCAGAAUGAGUGGACGUUACUCGCAGAAUAAGCACCGGCUAACUCUGUGCCAGCCGCCGCCGUAA
rnacentral:rRNA from 1 species